AAUAGCGUAUAUUAAAGUUGUUGCAGUUAAAAAGCUCGUAGUUGGAUUUCUGGUCGGAAGCUCCUGUCCUCUGAUGAGCGUACAAGUGCGUCCUACCAUCCUUCUGUUAACCUUUAAGGCUUUCGCGGCUUUCUAGGGGCUCAGAUAUUUUACCUUGAGAAAAUUAGAGUGUUUCAGGCAGGCUAGCGCCGGAAUACAUUAGCAUGGAAUAAUGGAAUAGGACUUUUGCCUCUUCUGUUGGUCAUGAGGCUCGAGUAAUGAUUAAUAGGGAUAGUUGGGGGCAUUAGUACUUAACUGUCAGAGGUGAAAUUCUCGGAUUUGUUAAAGACUAACUUAUGCGAAAGCAUUUGCCAAGGAUGUUUUCAUUAA
rnacentral:rRNA from 1 species